rnacentral:lncRNA from 1 species
CCUCUUUUUCUCUCUCAGCAGUCUUUCGGUCUUCCGUUUGUUUCUUUGACCCGAUUCUACGAUUUUCCAAUUCUUUGUUCGUGGUUCCCCGUGCGUCGUCUUCUCUCCCACGCACAUCGCUCCAUUUGUCCCACCCCAAGUCCCUCGGGAGUCCGUCGGUCUCCCGGCCAGGUCCGUUCUGCCGCUUCCUCGCGCGUACCCUCCCUCGCGGGAUUCCCGUCCCCCUGUCUCCGCCGUUCCAUCAGAGCAGCUCGUGCGGCUAGGGAGGCACGAUCCCACUUUGCAGGCUACAUUUAAAGCACAUCUGUACAACAGCGUUUGCCUCAAUUUUCCAUGGCCUUCAUUCACUGACGCCGUUCUGUUGGUGACGGUCGGGCCUUCGUUAGAGUACGACCGAAGCGCACCCAGAGAAAAAAUCUUCUUUCACAGCUAGGGUAACGGAUACGAGGUCUCGAGACGAUGACUAGCUGCUAUAAAAUCUCUCGAGCUGCAACUUGGCCCCUAACACUUGGCGUCCUUGUUCCAUCCUGCCUUCUCGACGCUGCGGAGAUAGUGGCGCUCCAUACAAGCCUCUUACAUAUUUCAGCAGCUACUAAGGUAUGUAGAUGUCCUAAUGCUGUAGGCCACUCAGAUCUCUAAAACCAUCCGAAUGCGUAUCAUAUGGUGUAUGACGCCGGAGAGCAGCGCUGGCGAGCGCUCUUGUUUCCCUAGCGAGGAAGAAGUACUGUGAGACAGUCCUUGAGGCGAACCGCUAUGAAAACGUUAGGUCGAGUUGUUACGAGUGACCCGUGCGUUGUCUUUCGGAGCAAUGUACGCUUAUGUUCUUUCCACGUUUGUGACGGAGAUCAGGGGGAGUUGACAAUUUCGAGGACUAAGAGCAGAACCUAACACGCUGCACAGCGGCUUACCCUUUACCACUGCGUGCGUGAAAAAUCUACCAUCGUUAGGCGCAACUGAACCUGGCCUUUUCUCUGUAUCUUCUUCUAUCGUUAAUUGGUUGAGACUCUCAGGCCGAUUACUGCUUCUCGUCAUCCCUUCAUCCGCUUCAAUUUCCCCUCUGUGUUAACCGCGGAAAACCAGGAUAACAUUUUCACCUGCGCUUAUGUCAACGCUCUCGCUGGAGACGAUUUCCGAUUCCACAGAACAGAGGAGGUACACGAUGACUUGCGUGAAGACAGUUUACCCUGGCGAGACUGUGUUGGCCUGUUGAAGGUGUACAGAAAAUUAUUCUCUGCAAAAAGAUCCGGUGUCUAUCUCUACUGAGAGGUUGAAUACACAACUUGAUCCCGAGGCCUGCGCGUGCCACAGGCGCUGGCGUGGUACUUGGCGACGUGGGAAGGUGCUGGAAAUUCUGCGUUGUCUUCUAUUGAAGACAUUCAGUGAGCUCGCAUGCACGCAAUCCUCCAGCAAAUGAAGACUCAACUUCCCUCUUUCCCCUUUUCCUUGCCAUCCACAGAGAAAAGGGAAGCGUACACCCCCAGCCGCACCCCCCGGUUCCGCUCCCUUGGCCUCCGCGUUGAGAUCACCACAGAUACUCUGCGGACAACGACGUACUCAUCACUCCUUUUCCAGUCGAAUAAAAGUGAAAAAACUGUCUUCUGGCCUUUCACUCGGUGUGUUUGAAGGGAAAGCAGCAGAGGGCAAAGUAAGGAGCAAAAAAGAAACGUAGGAACAAAGGAGCAACGAAGGAACAAAAGAGAAACGAAGUGUGCGCAAGCUUUUAGCGGCUCAAUCGAGUACAGCCGGUGUGCUGGUGUGGCCGUUUCUGACGGCACGGACGGAUUCAAGAGAGUCUGGUCGCGCAUCCUCAUCCCCUUUUCUCUUUUCCCGUAUUCACCCACGUACUCAGCGAGAUUCAUGGUUUGAGCUGUUUUCCCUUCCACAAUAAAACAGUUUAAGGG